GAGGUCUGGGGCGCUAAGAAAAGGUGCGCCGGAUGAAGAAGUAUGGAGGCCAUGAAAAACAAACAGCUGAAGGCUCCUUAUCUAUUAUCUAAUGACAGACAUCCUAAACAACUCAUAGCUGAGUUCCUUUCGCAUAGGUAUAUAAAUAAGCACAGCAAGACAAAUUCAUUUUUACUAUAUUUGAUUAAAAACUUGCUAUAUCAUCUAAAUGGCCAUAUCUUGUUAGUUAAUGUUCUGAUUAUACAAUAUGCUGGUUUUACAGUGUUACUAGGAGAUGACUACUAACUACUAGGGCGGUGGCUGUUUGGAGAAAUUGCUUUCAUUCAUAUAGCCCUAUUGUACUAGUGGAGGUUUCUUAUCUAAAAUGUUAGCUAUGAGGGGUAGCAGUAAGCCAGUAAUCCAUCUGUACCGACGUAUAAAUUUCCCCUGCUUGUUUCAAGCUGUUCUGAACUAAGAGUUUAGAACGUAAGGUCUGUGAUGUUAGACAUGUUUGUCCCAGUAGAUUGAUUUUGAAAUGCUAUUUGUCCAUUUGUUUCUCUUGGUUCAUUAAUAAUGCCACUUUUCACUUUGUUGCUAUUAUCUACUUAUCAUAGUGUUCUAUAUCUUAUGGGCUCUAAUUUCAUUGAUGCUAUUUGUCUGGUUUCUUAUCUAUACUGCUUGAGUUUUGAGUAAACUGCCGGAUGGCCCAAAGUGAAAACCAUUUCUGUACCCUAUUACUAAAUACUUAAAAACAUAAAUGGUACCUCUUGACGUACAUUUGAUCAUGUAUCAAUACUUCAAUGUUGGAAGAAAUUAUUUUUAACUUCAUUUUCUUUGCUUCUAUCAUCUUACAUAUUAUCAGCUCCAGCUGAAAUCAUUCAAGUCAAAAUGUCUGUAAGCUUGAUCAGUGUCAUCUACAUUAUGGGUGUUCAGAUCAAGUUUCUUCCCUGAACACGAAUUCUCAAAAUCUAUUAGCUUGCUUUCUCUGGGGUAUUCAGCGACCUGUCUUGCACACUUUUGCUCUUCUAGAUAUAGCUUCUCCGCAUCUACUUUGCUUCCUGAUGCCGAACUGGUGGUGCUACCUCCACCAUUUUGGGGUGCAGUAUACUCAUGCACUAUCUCUGUGUCACUUUCAUACCCAAACUCUGCUUUACUGUAUUGUUCAUCAUUCUGCAAAUGUGCCAUCCUACGCUCACUUAGGCUUCUGUUAAGGGCAAACUGGGUCUCAUGUUCAUGCGGUCUUUUUCUGCAAAAUAAUGAACUACCAUCAUGUGCUUUUAGUACUCCAUGGUGCUGUUGGUGCUGUAGUCUCUGCUCCUUGAUGAAUCCUUCGGCCACAGACAAAUAACUAUUUGUUGAACUUUCAACAAACUGGAUUUGUCUGGGCUCUAACCUAUGCACACUUGAACUUCCUUUUACAUCUGUAAUUGCAUUACUGAAGCAUUCAGUUGAUACUUGUGAAACUAACUGUGAUAUUUUUAUUUUUGCAUCUUCCAGGUUCGCAGGACCCAAAUUCUGUUUUCCAAGUGUUUCUUGUGCCUGCUCCAAAACUGCUUGUAGGUAUUUCCCUUGUGCUUCAAUUCGUAGUUGUAGAUGCCUUUGCACCUGUUUCCAAUUUGAAUUUCAGAUCAGAAUCACUGCAGCAGCAGCACAACUCCAUUUUAUAGACACUAUAAGCGGGACUUUGCUGGACCAUUAAAAUCAGUAGCAAACGUUGGACUCCAAUAUUGGGUGUGUGAAUCCAUAGAAAAUAAUUUAGGAUGCUGCCACUCACAAUCAUGACCCUGAACCUGCACUUCUAUAAUCUGCCUAAUGAUCAGACAGAAGAGGCUGAGGUGGUUGACACUGUGUGAUCAAAGGGAACCCUAUUUGUAGAAGACGAGCAGGAGAAAGAAGUCUAGAGGCGAGAGAAACCAGACUAGAAUGGUUUGCUAUUCAAGCAUGCAGCUUCCAGAUCACUAAUUGAUUCCAUGGUCAUCAUCUGUGUUGGACAGAGUGCACAGGUGCACUUGGGCCAACAAGGUGCAGCAAGCUUCCACAGCACGGGAGGUGCGGAGAGGACAGCUUGCAGAAUGAGAAAGAACACACUCCACCCGUUCCAAAUCAUAGUUCACUUCGGCUCUAUCCUAAGCCAAACUUACUUUCACUGAGUUUUUAGAAAAAAAAUUAACAUCUACAAGUUCAAAUAGAUAUACUAUAUGUUAGAAUACAAGUGAACUGUUCAACUCUCUCUAUCAGCUUAUUUUUUUGGGUUGAAUUAAUUAGUGCAUGCAACUUAAUAUGGCAUCAAAUGCAUAAGUCUCGAGUUCAAAUCCUGAUUAGUGCAAUGAAAUACAAAAAUUAUUGCUCCGCUCAUGUUUUACGUUUGAGGCCUGAGAGAGUUUCUACGUGAGGGGGAGUGUUAGAAUACAAGUGAAUUGUCCAACUAUUUCUAUCAACUUAGGAUUUUGGAUUGAAUUAGUUGUUGCAUGUAACUUAAUACUAUCUAGAUAUAUUUCAUGGAGCUUUUGAUGAAACUAAUUUGAUAUUGUAGAUGUUGAUGUAGUUUUCUAUAAACUUGGACAAAGUUAGAGAAAUUAGACCAGGACAAAGCUAAAGUGAACUACAAUUUGGAAAUGACUGGCGCGAUCCUAGCCUAGUUCUUGCGAUGUGGUCUGUGUGUUCGUUCCUGUACUUGGAUUUGGGUCCUUCUGGACUCGUGUACUAUUUUUUUUUACCUUAACAAAAUGACGCACAACUCUCAUGUGUAGUUCGAGAAAAAAUAUAAUUUGGAAUGAGGGACCAUAUAUAGGUUGAAUGCCAUCUGUUAAAGAUUGCAGACUUGCAUUAAUGGAAAUUUUCAUCAAAGGUUUAGAAGUUCAAUAAUAGAAUUGGUGUUUGAGAGAUCUAUUUUCAUGUUUGAUUUUUAAUAAACUAUUUGUUUUAUUGUCCAAAAAACAGAUUAUUUGUUUCUUCACCCUUUAACUAAUGGCUAUGUGCAUCUCUUGACUCAGCUUAAACAAUCUUAUUCAUUAAUCUAAAAGGGUAAUUAGCUUGCACUCCUGCUGUUCCAAUUUGUAAGUCAUUUAGGACUGCUAGCCAGAAUGCUUGAGAUAGCCCAUUGUUCGACCUACCUUAUCUACCACGUGAAAAUUUGGAACAAGAGUAUUGUCUUAGUGGUGUCAGUGACUUACCUCAAGUUGUUCAUUUAACUGUCUCUGAACCUCAAUUUGCAUCUGAAGUGCUUCACCAAUUUGAAUAGUCCUUGCAUGCAGGAAAAUAUAUUAUAAUUUCGGUAUUGAGAUUAUAUAUAAUUACGGAGUGUUAACAGAGUCCUUACUUCUCUGCC
rnacentral:lncRNA from 1 species